UCAAAUCUCUCUGCCGUGUCUUCCGCCUGCUAAUCUGAUUAUCCGGGGGACAGUUGGUGUAAUACCUCCGUGCAGCAGCUUCCACUGGAUGUGAGGCUGCAGCAGCUGACAAUAAUCAUAAUGGGAAGGAGGAGGCGAGCUUCUCCAGGAAGACCCGACGUCCUUCCUCCGAGGCGUCCCGGUACGAGCGCUUCGUCCGCCUGUCGGCACCCAGAACCCGAAGCGGCGGCUCCCGGGACGCCGGGCCUCCACACACACCUCCGUGUGACAACAACGGUCCCAUCUGGCGCCUCGACGCCGGCACCAAACCCGCUGUGAUCACGCCGCGGCUGCUGCGGCUCGCCGACCCCAAGCGGAACCAUCCGGACUUCUGGAGCAACAGCGAGGGCGCCGCGUCCGUGGUUUCCUUGUCUUCCCAGACGGCCCGGCCCUCUCAGCGGCUGGUCCGGCUCUCUCUGCCCCGGCUGCGGGGGGGGCGACGUCUGUCGCCGGCUCGGCCGCCCGGCGGAACCGAUCUGGACCGUGAGCGCUUCCUCUGCCUGCUAGACGUUCCGCUCAGGCGUUCUCCAAAGUCACUUUUCCAGCGCGCGUGGAGAAAACUCGUGACAUCACAGUCGAAUGAAAUGUGUUCCAGCUGUUUUUCACCAGUUCACCUUCAGUUAAUUGUGUGCUUUUCCAAUUACUGUCAUCAGCUGGCUCUUUAUUUUGAUGAGUAAAACUUCAAGCUAAAUGUCUGAAU
ensembl:lncRNA